AGCUUCCUCAACCAUAAUAGGGAGACAAGAGAGUCCUUUCUCUGUAGGACGGCUGUGGGGGCCGAAGGACCUGUGGCACCGGAGAAAUGCUUGGUGUAGUGCCUGGCGACGAAGGGUAGUGCUCAAUUUCUUAACCCGUCGGCUUCAUCUAGGGGCACAGUCCCAGUCACCGUCUUUGCUGGAACUGACCCUCCUGAGGAGACCUGGAAACAGCCUCUGCUCACCGCCUCCCCUUAUCAACCUGGAAGCCAGAGGACUCCCUCCAUCACAAAGCCUCUUCCAUGCCUGCCGUCUUCCAGAGGACCCUCCGGGCAGGUGGUCUGCCAAUCCCCAUUUCACAGAUGGGGAUCAAGAAUGCCAGGGAUUUGUGGAAGUAAGUAUGCCCUGGGGCAUCCUGUAUCCCCAUCCAUCCAGAGACUCCCUGGCAGGAGCUGGUCUCUCCCUCCUGGUCCAGUGCGUGUGUUCCACUGUCUCCAACCAGCACACCGGCCAGCAGGGAGAGCUGCCCACAGGGACUCAGCCCCCAUGUCCCCCUGGGGUUGGGACCCCGCCCUGGGUCCCUGACCUCCCGAGUGCAUCAUUUCCUUCUCCGUGAUUCUGAUUCC
rnacentral:lncRNA from 1 species